UAAGUCAGGGGUGAAAUCCCACAGCUCAACUGUGGAACUGCCUUUGAUACUGUCAGUCUAGAGUAUAGUUGAAGUUGGCGGAAUGUGUCAUGUAGCGGUGAAAUGCUUAGAUAUGACACAGAACACCGAUCGCGAAGGCAGCUAGCUAAGCUAUAACUGACGCUCAUGCACGAAAGCGUGGGGAUCAAACAGGAUUAGAUACCCUGGUAGUCCACGCUGUAAACGAUGAUUACUCGAUGUUGGCGAUACACAGUCAGCGUCUGAGCGAAAGCAAUAAGUAAUCCACCUGGGGAGUACGAUCGCAAGAUUGAAACUCAAAGGAAUUGACGGGGGCCCGCACAAGCGGAGGAGCAUGUGGUUUAAUUCGAUGAUACGCGAGGAACCUUACCUGGGCUCGAACGUAAGAUGACUGUAGGUGAAAGCUUACAUCUCUUCGGAGCAUUUUACGAGGUGCUGCAUGGUUGUCGUCAGCUCGUGCCGUGAGGUGUCGGGUUAAGUCCCAUAACGAGCGCAACCCCUACCUUUAGUUGCCAUCAGGUCAUGCUGGGGACUCUAAAGGAACUGCCUACGCAAGUAGUGAGGAAGGCGGGGAUGACGUCAAAUCAGCACGGCCCUUACGUCCAGGGCUACACACGUGCUACAAUGGCCGAUACAGAGGGCAGCUACCUGGUGACAGGAUGCAAAUCUCCAAAGUCGGUCUCAGUUCGGAUCGGAGUCUGCAACCCGACUCCGUGAAGUUGGAUUCGCUAGUAAUCGCGCAUCAGCCAUGGCGCGGUGAAUACGUUCCCGGGCCUUGUACACACCGCCCGUCAAGCCAUGGAAGCUGGGGGGACCUAAAGUCGAUAACCGCAAGGAGUCGCCUAGGGUAAAACCAGUGACUGGGGCUAAGUCGUAACAAGGUAGCCG
rnacentral:rRNA from 1 species